rnacentral:rRNA from 1 species
UUCCGUUUAGGGUGACCUGCGGAAGGAUCAUUGUCGAAACCU